UAAGUCUCUGUUUAAAUAUCCAGGCUCAACCUGGAGGAAGGCAGGGAAACUGGCUAGCUUGAGCAUAGUAGAGGUAACUGGAAUUUCUAGUGUAGGAGUGAAAUCCGUAGAUAUUAGAAGGAACGCCGAUGGCGUAGGCAGGUUACUGGGCUAUUGCUGACACUAAGGCACGAAAGCGUGGGGAGCGAACGGAUUAGAUACCCCGGUAGUCCACGCCCUAAACGAUAGCAUGCUA
rnacentral:rRNA from 1 species